GACGAACGCUGGCGGCGUGCUUAACACAUGCAAGUCGAACGGAAAGGCCCUGCUUUGGUGGGGUGCUCUAGUGGCGAACGGGUGAGUAACACGUGAGUAACCUGCCCUUGACUGUGGGAUAACUUCAGGAAACUGGGGCUAAUACCGGAUAGGAGCUCCUGCUGCAUGGUGGGGGUGGGAAAGUUUCGGCGGUUGGGGAUGGACUCGCGGCUUAUCAGCUUGUUGGUGGGGUAGUGGAUUACCAAGGCUUUGACGGGUAGCCGGCCUGGGAGGGUGACCGGCCCCAUUGGGACUGAGAUACGGCCCAGACUCCUACGGGAGGCAGGGGUGGGGAAUAUUGCACAAUGGGCGGGAGCCUGAUGCAACACCGCCGCGUGCGGGAUGACGGCAUUCGGGUUGUAAACCGCUUUCGCCUGUGACGAAGCGUGAGUGACGGUAAUGGGUAAAGAAGCACCGGCUAACUACGUG
rnacentral:rRNA from 1 species